GACGAACGCUGGCGGCGUGCUUAACACAUGCAAGUCGAACGGAAAGGCCCUGCUUUUGUGGGGUGCUCGAGUGGCGAACGGGUGAGUAACACGUGAGUAACCUGCCCUUGACUUUGGGAUAACUUCAGGAAACUGGGGCUAAUACCGGAUAGGAGCUCCUGCUGCAUGGUGGGGGUUGGAAAGUUUCGGCGGUGGGGGAUGGACUCGCGGCUUAUCAGCUUGUUGGGGGGGUAGUGGCUUACCAAGGCUUUGACGGGUAGCCGGCCUGAGAGGGUGGCCGGCGACAAUGGGACUGAGAUACGGCCCAGACUCCUACGGGAGGCAGCAGUGGGGAAUAUUGCACAAUGGGCGGGAGCCUGAUGCAGCAACGCCGCGUGCGGGAUGACGGCCUUCGGGUUGUAAACCGCUUUCGCCUGUGACGAAGCGUGAGUGACGGUAAUGGGUAAAGAAGCACCGGCUAACUACGUG
rnacentral:rRNA from 1 species